rnacentral:pre_miRNA from 1 species
AGGCUGAGCCCUGUGCAAACGCUUGUUUUAUUCCAGCAUUGCACUAGUCUCGGUCUGU